AAGGAGCACCACGAAAAGCACCCCAAUUGGUGGGGUGCAAGCCGUGCGGGGUUCUCGCCUGUAGUGGGCGAGGGCCGGGUGCGCAACAGCAAAUGAUUGCCAGACACACUAUUGGGCCCUGAGACAACACUCGGGUUGUUCGAGUGGUUGUCCCUCCAUCUUGGUGGUGGGGUGUGGUGUUUGAGAACUGGAUAGUGGUUGCGAGCAUCUAAAUGAAUGCGUUGCCCUCCGAGUAUCGGGGCGGUGGCGGAUUCAUUAAAAUGUGUAAUUUUUCUUUGGUUUU
rnacentral:misc_RNA from 1 species